rnacentral:rRNA from 1 species
GAUGAACGCUGGCGGCGUGCCUAAUACAUGCAAGUCGAGCGAACGGACUAGAAGCUUGCUUCUCUGAUGUUAGCGGCGGACGGGUGAGUAACACGUGGAUAACCUACCUAUAAGACUGGGAUAACUUCGGGAAACCGUAGCUAAUACCGGAUAAUAUUUUGAACCGCAUGGUUCAAAAGUGAAAGACGGUCUUGCUGUCACUUAUAGCUGGAUCCGCGCUGCAUUAGCUAGUUGGUAAGGUAACGGCUUACCAAGGCAACGAUGCAUAGCCGACCUGAGAGGGUGAUCGGCCACACUGGAACUGAGACACGGUCCAGACUCCUACGGGAGGCAGCAGUAGGGAAUCUUCCGCAAUGGGCGAAAGCCUGACGGAGCAACGCCGCGUGAGUGAUGAAGGUCUUCGGAUCGUAAAACUCUGUUAUUAGGGAAGAACAGAUGUGUAAGUAACUGUGCACAUCUUGACGGUACCUAAUCAGAAAGCCACGGCUAACUACGUG